rnacentral:rRNA from 1 species
CAAUAGCGUAUAUUAAAGUUGUUGCAGUUAAAAAGCUCGUAGUUGGAUUUCGGGGCAGCCUGGCUGGCCCGCCGCAAGGCGAGUACUGGUCAGCCGCCCUUCCUCUCGAAAGCCCCGACUGCUCUUUAUUGCAGUGGUCGGGUAGUUCGGGACGUUUACUUUGAAAAAAUUAGAGUGUUCAAGGCAGGCCUACGCCUGAAUACAUUAGCAUGGAAUAAUGGAAGAGGACCUCGGUCCUAUUUUGUUGGUUUCCAGGACCGAAGUAAUGAUUAAGAGGGACAGUUGGGGGCAUUCGUAUUUAAUUGUCAGAGGUGAAAUUCUCGGAUUUAUGAAAGACGAACAACUGCGAAAGCAUUUGCCAAGGAUGUUUUCAUUAA